UACGGAGGGUGCGAGCGUUGUCCGGAAUCAUUGGGCGUAAAGGGCGCGUAGGUGGCCCGGUCAGUUCGUGGUGAAAGCGCGGGGCUCAACCCUGCGUCGGCCAUGAAUACUGCCGCGGCUGGAGCACUGUAGAGGCAGGCGGAAUUCCGGGUGUAGCGGUGGAAUGCGUAGAGAUCGGGAGGAACACCCGUGGCGAAGGCGGCCAACUGGGCCGGACCUGACGCUGAGGCGCGAAGGCGUGGGGAGCGAACGGG
rnacentral:rRNA from 1 species